GAUGAACGCUGGCUACAGGCUUAACACAUGCAAGUCGAGGGGAAACGACGGGGAAGCUUGCUUCCCCGGGCGUCGACCGGCGCACGGGUGAGUAACGCGUAUCCAACCUGCCUCUGACUGAGGGAUAACCCGUCGAAAGUCGGCCUAAUACCUCAUGGCAUCGUCUGCGGGCAUCCAACGACGAUUAAAGAUUUCAUCGGUCAGGGAUGGGGAUGCGUCUGAUUAGCUUGUUGGCGGGCUAACGGCCCACCAAGGCUACGAUCAGUAGGGGUUCUGAGAGGAAGGUCCCCCACAUUGGAACUGGGAAACGGUCCAAACUCCUACGGGAGGCAGCAGUGAGGAAUGUAGGUCAAUGGGAGGGAGCCUGAACCAGCCAAGUAGCGUGCAGGAUGACGGCCCUAUGGGUUGUAAACUGCUUUUAUGCGGGGAUAAAGUGAGGGACGUGUCCUUGAUUGCAGGUAACGCAUGAAUAAGGACCGGCUAAUUACGUG
rnacentral:rRNA from 1 species